ACAGACGUGUGCACACAGCCUUUUACUCUGGGAUUGAAAUUAUGUAGUGAAGCUUGCACAGCUAGAAAUUUUAUCUGGUUCUGUAACAAUCAAGAAUGUGUGGACACCUACCUGUGGGAGGAGGCUUUCAGGGACAUUGUGUCUGGUUCCUGCUGACGCCAGCAUUCUGGAGAUGGACAGCUGUUCAAGGGAAUGAAGAUUCCCCCACAGGACAAGGACUAUUGCCUCCCUGAGUAUCCUAAAAGGUCUCUUGAAACAAACCAAACACUCAGAACUUCUGUGACUGUCAUGGACAGUGUCCUGUUACUGGCUUUAAACAGAGCCCCUCAUGCAGAAGAAGCCCUGUAUCCUGGAGUUAGAUGUCAAUCAUC
rnacentral:lncRNA from 1 species